rnacentral:rRNA from 1 species
AGUGAACGCUGGCGGUAGGCCUAACACAUGCAAGUCGAACGGCAGCACAGUAAGAGCUUGCUCUUACGGGUGGCGAGUGGCGGACGGGUGAGGAAUACAUCGGAAUCUACUUUUUCGUGGGGGAUAACGUAGGGAAACUUACGCUAAUACCGCAUACGACCUACGGGUGAAAGCAGGGGAUCUUCGGACCUUGCGCGAUUGAAUGCGCCGAUGUCGGAUUAGCUAGUUGGCGGGGUAAAGGCCCACCAAGGCGACGAUCCGUAGCUGGUCUGAGAGGAGGAUCGGCCACACUGGAACUGAGACACGGUCCAGACUCCUACGGGAGGCAGCAGUGGGGAAUAUUGGACAAUGGGCGCAAGCCUGAUCCAGCCAUACCGCGUGGGUGAAGAAGGCCUUCGGGUUGUAAAGCCCUUUUGUUGGGAAAGAAAAGCAGCAGGUUAAUACCCCGCUGUUCUGACGGUACCCAAAGAAUAAGCACCGGCUAACUUCGUG